rnacentral:misc_RNA from 1 species
UUGGUCUUGGUCAAGCUAUGGUAUUUCUCCUUUUCCAACCUUCUUUUAAAUGUUAAAAUUUCCCUGUUUGUUGUUUUGGAUAUCAGAUUUUCUGUUUCUGUUUAUUUGCUGGGAAAAGAAAAUGAUGGGCGAAUUGACAUACAAGGAAAGUUUGCUCAACACCACUCUUCCUUCCUUUCGUCCUUUCUGAUUGUUUGUUUGGGGUAUAUCAUGGUUCAACUAUUUAAUCAAUUAUCUAGAAUUUCUUUAAUGGUCAUGAAAACGUAAGAGCUUGUGUGGUUCAAUUCAAUCCC